rnacentral:rRNA from 1 species
CCUACGGGUCGCAGCAGUAGGGAAUCUUCGGCAAUGGACGAAAGUCUGACCGAGCAACGCCGCGUGAGUGAAGAAGGUUUUCGGAUCGUAAAACUCUGUUGGUAGAGAAGAACGUUGGUGAGAGUGGAAAGCUCAUCAAGUGACGGUAACUACCCAGAAAGGGACGGCUAACUACGUGCCAGCAGCCGCGGUAAUACGUAGGUCCCGAGCGUUGUCCGGAUUUAUUGGGCGUAAAGCGAGCGCAGGUGGUUUAUUAAGUCUGGUGUAAAAGGCAGUGGCUCAACCAUUGUAUGCAUUGGAAACUGGUAGACUUGAGUGCAGGAGAGGAGAGUGGAAUUCCAUGUGUAGCGGUGAAAUGCGUAGAUAUUCGGAGGAACACCAGUGGCGAAGGCGGCUUACUGGACCGGUACUGACGCUGAGGCGCGAAAGCGUGGGGAGCAAACGGGAUUAGAUACCCUCGUAGUC